CUUUAAAUGGCAAAUUACCCUGCUUCCCUGGGUUGUGGAGAAGCCUAUUUGCCAGCCUCCUCCCGCAUGACUAUGGCCCCUGGGAGAUUGUGAAAAUGUGUGUAUGGCCCUUUAAGACUGUCAGUGGGCAUAUUGGAGCUUAUGGACUCUUUAUGUGACUGGUGCUGGCCCUUUAAACACCUUUUUUGGGACAUCAGGAAGAUUGGGACACUGCCCCUUUAAGGCCGUGCCCCCAGACUUGUUGGGGACACUGCCCCUUUAAGACGGUGUCCCCUGUGUCCCCAGACCUGGUGCAAACCCUUUGUGCCUGCCUGGCUAUUUCCCACUUGGUUCAGUAAAUGGGGCUUACUGAACCCCUGCCACCCAGCCACCCCACUGGACCCCAGGGAAGCCACCCUCCAGAAAAAGGUAAGAAACUGGAGGGUGGUUAUCAAAUUUUGCAUGAGUGCAAGUCUGUCAGGCAGACCACCCAGAAGUGGAAGUGUGCAGGCAAUUUACCUCCCAGAAGCUGCGGUUAACCGCAGUUUAAUUGACAAUGCUGGGAGGUCUUUGUUCGUUUGCCGAAC